rnacentral:rRNA from 1 species
CCUACGGGAGGCAGCAGUGGGGAAUAUUGCACAAUGGGGGAAACCCUGAUGCAGCCAUGCCGCGUGUAUGAAGAAGGCCUUCGGGUUGUAAAGUACUUUCAGUUGUGAGGAAGGCGUUGAAGUUAAUAGCUUCAGCGUUUGACGUUAGCAACAGAAGAAGCACCGGCUAACUCCGUGCCAGCAGCCGCGGUAAUACGGAGGGUGCGAGCGUUAAUCGGAAUUACUGGGCGUAAAGCGCAUGCAGGCGGUCUGUUAAGCAAGAUGUGAAAGCCCGGGGCUCAACCUCGGAACAGCAUUUUGAACUGGCAGACUAGAGUCUUGUAGAGGGGGGUAGAAUUUCAGGUGUAGCGGUGAAAUGCGUAGAGAUCUGAAGGAAUACCGGUGGCGAAGGCGGCCCCCUGGACAAAGACUGACGCUCAGAUGCGAAAGCGUGGGGAGCAAACAGGAUUAGAUACCCUGGUAGUCCACGCCGUAAACGAUGUCUACUUGAAGGUUGUGGCCUUGAGCCGUGGCUUUCGGAGCUAACUCGUUAAGUAGACCGCCUGGGGAGUACGGUCGCAAGAUUAAAACUCAAAUGAAUUGACGGGGGCCCGCACAAGCGGUGGAGCAUGUGGUUUAAUUCGAUGCAACGCGAAGAACCUUAC